GAAAAGGCAGAUGAGGCGUAAACAAUGGCAUCCUGAGCAUCAAAAGCUAAAGAAAUGAAGACAACUGGCUGGUGGCCUGACAUUAGCUGGAGGUGAGCAACAAAGGAGAAUGCUGGAAUGAUUGGCCUGACUGGGAAGUGCAGAAUCUACUCUAAUGGAAAUAGUGUGAUGUGGGAAGAUGAGAAGCAGAAGCAUCCUCUGCUUUCUGUACAGCAUCCUUGAGAGGAAAGAAGAACGUGUCUGGAAAGCUUGCCUGGGAGUUCAGCACUGCAUUUGGCCUGGUCUGCCGGUCUUUCUGAGCCCCUCAUUACUGAGCUGCAACAUCACCAUCCACAACAAUUCAGAAAUGGCAAUAAAAAACAAGGAAGCUUUUCUUCAGAAGCAGAGAUUUAGGAGUGGUUAUUGACAGCAGUUCAGUCUGCCACACCCAGAAGUCUGUGGAACUGGAGCAUAACAGAGAAAGACAGGACAAGCUGAGAAGAACCAACUGAAAGGAAAAUCUUCAAGUUUGUGGCUAUCAGAGCAAAAGGCAAAAAGGUAGGAUUGCAUCCAUGUGGUUGUUUGUCUUUCACCCACUCACAUUGACUGUAAUGGGACUGCUGGCUCUGUGUCCCUGCCUGUGGGACCCUCACUUUAUAAAGGAGGAAGGGGACAUUAAG
rnacentral:lncRNA from 1 species